GCGGCGCCUGCCCCGGAUGGCAGCAGUAGUUCUAGGGGGAGACACCAUGGGCCCAGAGCGUAUCUUCCCCAAUCAGACUGAGGAACUGGGGCCGCAUGUGGGCCCCACAGAAGGCACUAAGGAUUGGAGCAGUGAGGAGCAGGAGGAAGAGCAGGAGGAAGCCGGGGCAGGCCCAACUGGUUACUCUUACCAGCCCCUGAACCAAGAUCCUGAACAAGAGGAAGUGGAAUUGGCACCUGUCGGGGAUGGAGAAGAUGUAGUUGCUGACAUCCAGGAACGGAUCCAGGCCCUGGGGCUGCAUUUGCCAGACCCUCCAUUAGAAAGUGAAGAUGAAGAAGAGGAGGAAGCUACAGCAUUGAGCAGCCACAGCUCUAUUCCCAUGGACCCAGAACACGUUGAGCUGGUGAAAAGGACAAUGGCUGGAAUAAGCCUGCCUGCACCAGGGGUUCCUGCCUGGGCACGGGAGAUCUCAGAUGCUCAGUGGGAAGAUGUGGUACAGAAGGCCCUCCAAGCCCGGCAGGCAUCACCAGCCUGGAAGUGACAACGCUAAGAG